rnacentral:tRNA from 1 species
GCGGCCGUGGUCUAGCGGUUUUGAUCUCAGCCUUCCAAGCUGAGGGUCCGGGUUCGACUCCCGGCGGCCGCA